UUUCUGUAGGGGUAACCUGCGGAGGGAUCAUUACCGAGUUUACAACUCCCAAACCCAAUGUGAACGUUACCAAACUGUUGCCUCGGCGGGGUCACGCCCCGGGUGCGUCGCAGCCCCGGAACCAGGCGCCCGCCGGAGGAACCAACCAAACUCUUUCUGUAGUCCCCUCGCGGACGUAUUUCUUACAGCUCUGAGCAAAAAUUCAAAAUGAAUCAAAACUUUCAACAACGGAUCUCUUGGUUCUGGCAUCGAUGAAGAACGCAGCGAAAUGCGAUAAGUAAUGUGAAUUGCAGAAUUCAGUGAAUCAUCGAAUCUUUGAACGCACAUUGCGCCCGCCAGUAUUCUGGCGGGCAUGCCUGUCCGAGCGUCAUUUCAACCCUCGAACCCCUCCGGGGGAUCGGCGUUGGGGAUCGGGACCCCUCACACGGGUGCCGGCCCCGAAAUACAGUGGCGGUCUCGCCGCAGCCUCUCCUGCGCAGUAGUUUGCACAACUCGCACCGGGAGCGCGGCGCGUCCACGUCCGUAAAACACCCAACUUUCUGAAAUGUUGACCUCGGAUCAGGUAGGAAUACCCGCUGAACUUAAGCAUAUCA
rnacentral:rRNA from 1 species